rnacentral:rRNA from 1 species
AAACCAACAGGGAUUACCUCAGUAACGGCGAGUGAAGCGGUAACAGCUCAAAUUUGAAAUCUGGGUCUUUCAGGCUCCGAGUUGUAAUUUGUAGAAGAUGCUUCGGGUGCGGCUCCGGUCUAAGUUCCUUGGAACAGGACGUCAUAGAGGGUGAGAAUCCCGUAUGUGAUCGGUUGCUUGCGCCCAUGUGAAGCUCUUUCGACGAGUCGAGUUGUUUGGGAAUGCAGCUCAAAAUGGGUGGUAAAUUUCAUCUAAAGCUAAAUAUUGGCCAGAGACCGAUAGCGCACAAGUAGAGUGAUCGAAAGAUGAAAAGCACUUUGGAAAGAGAGUUAAACAGUACGUGAAAUUGUUGAAAGGGAAGCGCUUGCAACCAGACUUGCGCGUUGCUGAUCAUCCGGGGUUCUCCCCGGUGCACUCGGCUUCGCUCAGGCCAGCAUCGGUUUUGGUGGUGGGAUAAAGGCCUUGGGAAUGUAGCUUCUUUCGGGGAGUGUUAUAGCCCUCGGUGCAAUGCCGCCUACUGGGACCGAGGACCGCGCUUCGGCUAGGAUGCUGGCGUAAUGGUUGUAAGCGAC